rnacentral:rRNA from 1 species
GGGCGACUGAACUGGGAACAGCCCAGCGCAUAACCUCGUGUCGUUAAAUCUCGGCACGAGGGGUGUUGCGUUUAGGAGGGUCCAGCACGCCGUGCCAUACCGUCUAAGUCUAGCAUGAAAGCGGCAACAACCCGUGGAGGGUGACAGGCCCGUGUGGCGGCGCCCGUGAGGGUAAUCAUGGCACGGUCGGAAAGGGCCUCUCCCUAGAGUCGGGUUGCUUAAUAGUGCAGCCCAAAGCAGGUGGUAAACUCCAUCUAAGGCUAAAUAUAACCAGGAGACCGAUAGCAAACAAGUACCGUGAGGGAAAGUUGAAAAGAACUUUGAAGAGAGAGUUCAAGAGUACGUGAAACCGUUAAGAGCCAAACGGAUGGAACUUCGAAGGUCGAAAUGAGGGGAUUCAGCUCGUCGACCGUCGGCUGGGUGCGAGCGUUCGUUGAGUCGAGGCGACCCGAGGAAACUCGGGCGUGCUCGUCACCCAUGCUGGCGUCGGCGGGCGCAUUUCGCCUCGUAGUAGAGAGCCGCGAUCCGUUGUUGUGGACGUCAGAGGCCCAGGCUGAUUGGUACCCUGCCUUGGUCGUCGAUUGCCUUGUUACUGUUCCUACUCCUCGGAGUGAACUGGGGCGGCGUCGGCGCGCUGGGGUAGGCGAAACAGCCUUCGGUGAUGAUCUUGGCUGUCCCGCAACGGUCGUAGAGACGAGCUCCUGUCCCCUUUACCAGGGGUGUUGCUCUCGCGGCGUGCAAAAAGAUCGGUGGUCCAUCCGACCCGUCUUGAAACACGGACCAAGGAGUCUAACAUGUGUGCGAGUCAUUGGGCGCACUCAACCCAGAGGCGCAAUGAAAGUGAGAAUGGACUUUUGAGAAGGACGGCGCCCGUGUCGGUCAAUGAUGCGGGCGUCGUCGGAAGUAAAGAGCAGCAGGGCCGAUCCACCGCCUUACCUACCUUAGGCAAUGCCAGGUGAGCUAUUUUCCCUGGCAUGUGCCGACGGGGGCGGCGGAGCGCUUAGUAGCGGGCGCAGGCCCGGGACUUGCUGGCAAGACGCCGCGCGAGGACUAUCAUAGCCUUCCCGAGUCAGCGACAAGGUUGGAUGAGAGGAGUGACUUUGCCGUCGUCCUCUGUCUGUGAGCCGAGCUGCGGUGGAGUUGGUAUGUGUCACGAGCGUGUGCCGUCGGCAAGUACCACGAGCAGACAUGUUGGUACCCGAAAGAUGGUGAACUAUGCCUGGCCAGGAUGAAGCCAGAGGAAACUCUGGUGGAGGUCCGCAGCGAUUCUGACGUGCAAAUCGAUCGUCUGAGCUGGGUAUAGGGGCGAAAGACUAAUCGAAUCAUCUAGUAGCUGGUUUCCUCUGAAGUUUCCCUCAGGAUAGCUGGAACUCGCAUGAGUUUUGUCCUGUAAAGCGAAUGAUUAGAGGUGUUGGGGACGAAACGUCCUCAACCUAUUCUCAAACUUUAAAUGGGCGAGACGCCGAGCUUGCUUGAAAGCUGAAGCUCUGGCGAUUAAUAUGAGUAUCUAGUGGGCUAUUUUUGGUAAGCAGAACUGGCGCUGUGGGUUGAACCAAACGUCGAGUUAAGGGGCCUAAAUGAAUGCUCAUUCAGAUCCCAUCGAAAGGCGUUGGUUGCUAUAGACAGCAGGACGGUGGCCAUGGAAGUUGGAAUCCGCUAAGGAGUGUGUAACAACUCACCUGCCGAAGCAACUAGCCCUUAAAAUGGUAUGGCGCUGAAGCAUUCUCCCGAUACUCGACCGCCGGGGCACUAGCGGCCACGUCCCAGAGGCGAGGUCUCGAAGCCCCGGUGAGUAAGAGGGUCGCAGUGGUGAGCGCUGAAGGGAUCCGGCGUGAGCCGGCCUGNAGCCGCCACUGGUGCAGAUCUUGGUGGUAGUAGCAAAUACUCGAGAGAGACUCCCUUGAAGACCGAAGUGGAGAAGGGUUCCAUGUGAACAUCAGUUGGACAUGGGUUAGUCGCUCCUAAGCCCAAGGCUAAGGCCUGAUCCCAUGCCAAUGGCAAGUGUGUAAGUCAGGCAGCCAAUAUAUUAAGCAGCAGCAGCAGCAAAAGGAGUCAAACUUUAAUAAAGCAGCAAAAGGAGUCAAACUUUAAUAAAGCAGCAAAAGGAGUCAAAUUUUAAUAACGCAGCUAAAGCAGGAUGACGAGUGGAAUCUCGUCGUUCUGUGCUGCUUCUUGCCAGGGAUCAGUGGCGAAAGGGAAUACGGUACUUAUUCCGUAACCUGGUCUCGGAUAAAAAUAGCAGGCAGGCUGUAGCGGAAGAGCACGUGAGCUCCCGAAAGGGAGUUUCGCUGUGUAUGCUUACGCUGAUGCCUCUGCCCUGUGUUGAGGAUCCUGGUGACGGGAACCAGCUCGCGCCCAUCGGCGGUGGUCCGGGAAAGAGUUUUCUUUUCUGUUUAAGGCGCCGUUACCCUAGAAAUCAUCCGCAGGGAGAAAGGGGGUUGGUAAGACGGUUAGCCGUAGAGCGCCGCGGGUCUUGCGGCGUCCCGCGUACCACCGCCGGUCCGUGAAACCGCGAGGCAGGUAACUCUGUGGCGUUAAUGUCUUUGGGUCGGGUCUCCAAGUCCGCCCAAAUGACAAAAAAAUAAUUAACAGCCAAAUUUCGGACCAGUGCGUACCCAUAUCCGCAGCCGGUCUCCAAGGUAAGCAGCUC